UGCAAGUCGAGCGAGCGGAACCAACAGAUUUACUUCGGUAAUGACGUUGGGAAAGCGAGCGGCGGAUGGGUGAGUAACACGUGGGGAACCUGCCCCUAAGUCUGGGAUACCAUUUGGAAACAGGUGCUAAUACCGGAUAAUAAAGCAGAUCGCAUGAUCAGCUUUUGAAAGGCGGCGUAAGCUGUCGCUAAGGGAUGGCCCCGCGGUGCAUUAGCUAGUUGGUAAGGUAACGGCUUACCAAGGCGACGAUGCAUAGCCGAGUUGAGAGACUGAUCGGCCACAUUGGGACUGAGACACGGCCCAAACUCCUACGGGAGGCAGCAGUAGGGAAUCUUCCACAAUGGACGCAAGUCUGAUGGAGCAACGCCGCGUGAGUGAAGAAGGUUUUCGGAUCGUAAAGCUCUGUUGUUGGUGAAGAAGGAUAGAGGUAGUAACUGGCCUUUAUUUGACGGCAAUCAACCAGAAAGUCNCGGCUAACUAC
rnacentral:rRNA from 1 species